AUACUACUCCCUCCGUCCCAAAAUAAGUGACUCAAAAGUGAGUGAACUUUGUACUAAAAUUAGUACAAAGUUCACUCACUUUUGAGUCACUUAUUUUGGGACGGAGGGAGUAUAUA
rfam:Triticum aestivum genome assembly, contig: Triticum_aestivum_CS42_TGACv1_scaffold_592637_7BS